rnacentral:rRNA from 1 species
CACCAGGUUGAUUCUGCCUGACGUGGACGCUAGUCUCAUAGAUUUAGCCAUGCAAGUGUAAGCGAACGAGAGGGAGCUGCGGACUGCUCAGUAACAGGCGAAUAAUUUAAUCUUUACAAACGGACAAACUCAGGAAACGGAGUGAAAUACGAAAAAGUUGGUAUUUUUAUAAAAAGAAAUCGAACUUAGCUUGAAAAAGCGGUAAAGAAUAAGACGCCAGCCCAUCAGUUAGUAAGUAAGGUAAGGGCUUAUUUAGACGAAUACGGGUACGGGGAAUUAGGGUUUGAUUCCGGAGAGGGAGCCUGAGAGACGGCUACCAGGUCCAAGGACGGCAGCAGGCGCGAAAAUUACCGAAGCUCAAAAAGAGGCGGUAGUAAUGAGACGUAAAAAAAUUAAUACAAGGGUAAAAAACUUGUUAAUAACUGGAGGUAAAGUCUGGUGCCAGCAUCCGCGGUAAUACCAGCUCCAGGGGUGUCUAUGAUGAUUGCUGCGAUUAAAAGGUCCGUAGUCGAAAAUAGAUAAUUGUUUGUAAGAUGUUAUCUAAAAUAAUAGAAAGAACAAUUACCUAAUUGAAAGGAAUAGCAAGAGGCUGAUUAAUCGAGUAACGAGAGGUGAAAUUUGAUGACUUACUUGGGAGAAACAGAGGCGAAAGCGUCAGUCAAGUGUAAAUCCGAUGAUCAAGGACGUAGGCUGGAGUAUCGAACACGAUUAGAUACCGUAGUAGUUCCAGCAGUAAACUAUGCCUACGCCGUUGAAUGAAAGUUUGGCGGACGAGAAAUUUAGAGUAGGGCUUUGGGGAGAGUACACGCGCAAGCGAUAAAUUUAAAGGAAAUU